AGAGUUUGAUCAUGGCUCAGAACGAACGCUGGCGGCGCGCCUAAUACAUGCAAGUCGAGCGAGAAGGUGUAGCAAUACACUUGUAAAGCGGCGAACGGGUGAGGAAUGCAUGGGUAACCUACCCUCGAGUGGGGAAUAACUAGCCGAAAGGUUAGCUAAUACCGCAUACGUUUCCGGGACUUCGGUUCCGGAAAGAAAGCAAUACCGUGGGUAUUGCGCUCAUGGAUGGGCUCAUGUCCUAUCAGCUUGUUGGUGAGGUAACGGCUCACCAAGGCUUCGACGGGUAGCUGGUCUGAGAGGACGAUCAGCCACACUGGCACUGCGACACGGGCCAGACUCCUACGGGAGGCAGCAGUAAGGAAUAUUGCGCAAUGGACGAAAGUCUGACGCAGCGACGCCGCGUGGGGGAUGAAGGUCUUCGGAUUGUAAACCCCUUUCGGGAGGGAAGAUGGAGUGGGUAACCACUUGGACGGUACCUCCAGAAGCAGCCACGGCUAACUUCGUGCCAGCAGCCGCGGUAAUACGAAGGUGGCAAGCGUUGUUCGGAUUCACUGGGCGUACAGGGAGCGUAGGCGGUUGGGUAAGCCCUCCGUGAAAUCUCCGGGCCUAACCCGGAAAGUGCAGAGGGGACUGCUCAGCUAGAGGAUGGGAGAAGAGCGCGGAAUUCCCGGUGUAGCGGUGAAAUGCGUAGAGAUCGGGAGGAAGGCCGGUGGCGAAGGCGGCGCUCUGGAACAUUUCUGACGCUGAGGCUCGAAAGCGUGGGGAGCAAACAGGAUUAGAUACCCCGGUAGUCCAA
rnacentral:rRNA from 1 species